rnacentral:rRNA from 1 species
GAUGAACGCUAGCGGCAGGCCUAACACAUGCAAGUCGAGGGGUAACAGGAAGAAGCUUGCUUUUUGCUGACGACCGGCGCACGGGUGCGGAACGCGUAUGGAACCUGCCUUUGUCAGGGGAAUAGCCCAGAGAAAUUUGGAUUAAUGCCCCAUGGUAACCCUUUGUUGCAUAACAUAGGGUUUAAAGAUUUAUCGGACAAAGAUGGCCAUGCGUACCAUUAGCUAGUUGGUAAGGUAACGGCUUACCAAGGCAACGAUGGUUAGGGGCCCUGAGAGGGGGAUCCCCCACACUGGUACUGAGACACGGACCAGACUCCUACGGGAGGCAGCAGUGAGGAAUAUUGGACAAUGGGCGGGAGCCUGAUCCAGCCAUGCCGCGUGCAGGAUGACUGCCCUAUGGGUUGUAAACUGCUUUUAUACGGGAAGAAACGCACCUACGUGUAGGUGUCUGACGGUACCGUAAGAAUAAGGACCG